rnacentral:ncRNA from 2 species
GACGACAUACGCGGGAGUCCGGCGCACCGGGCUGAGAGGGAGGCGGGCGGCCUCCGACCGUACGAACCUGAUCCGGGUCAUUCCGGCGAAGGGAGACACAGCGUUUCCAUG